rnacentral:lncRNA from 1 species
CUGAGGUAGGAAGGAUCUCUUGAGACCAGGUGGUGGAGGUUACAGUGAGCCUAGAUCAUGCCCUCCAGGCUGGACAACAGAGUGAAACUGUCUGAAAGAAAAGAGAAGAGAAGAGAAGAGGAGAAAAGAAAAGAAAGAAAAAAUUUAGGUAUACACAAAAGCCUGCAGAGGGAUGUUUGAGGCAGCUUUAUUCAUAAUUAA